AUCAGUGGUAUCCAGCAUUGAGCUUCGGCAAGGGUGCCUGACCCUACUACCCGUGAACCCCUCGAGACGUGGUUGUAGAGUCGUGCAUCUCUGCUGAGCCUCCUACUCUGUUAGAGAAUG
rnacentral:pre_miRNA from 16 species